UUCUUUUUCCUUUUAGGAAGCCUCUGUCUCAGGUUGUGGCGACGACUUGCUUUCACAAAGGUUCCAUUUCAGGAUUGUGAGAUUGGAUUGUGAGGAUUGUUUUUGGAGAUGGACAGACGUUUGGUUUCUGGGGCUUCACAUGUACAUAGUUCUUUCUGGAUUGACGGGGUUUGUGAGCGUUGGUUCCGGUGAAGUCAGCUAUUCACCAAGUUUCAUGAGUGUUUGAUGGACUGUAGUCGGUGUAGACAGACAAGGCUAUGCACCAAGUUUCAUGAGUGUUUGAUUGACUGUAGUGUGUGUGCCCAAAGACUUGAUUGGAACUGAAGAGCGCAGACAAGGCUAUGCACCAAGAGCUGAUUGGACUGAAGAGAGCAGAUAAGGCCAGUUCAUCGGCAGCUGCCAGGGGCUCUCUUCU